AAACGAGAAUAAAGCGUGAAGGAUAACGUUGCGUCAGCAACGGCCCGUAGGGCGAGGCGAAGCCGAGUCAUCCUGCACGACCCACCG
rnacentral:sRNA from 1 species